GUGAUGACGUGGUUCUUCGUAGACAUGUGAAGACGCCCCUACCCAGCUGA
rnacentral:snoRNA from 1 species